rnacentral:piRNA from 1 species
UAAUUUCUAUUUCUGGGUAGGGGGU